rnacentral:rRNA from 1 species
GAUGAACGCUAGCGGCAGGCUUAAUACAUGCAAGUCGAGGGGCAGCAGUUUUGUAGCAAUACAGAAGCUGGCGACCGGCAAACGGGUGCGGAACACGUACGCAACCUUCCUUUAACUGGAAGAUAGCCCACCGAAAGGUGGAUUAAUACUCCAUAACAUAUUGAAGAGGCAUCUCUUUGAUAUUAAAGCUCCGGCGGUUAAAGAUGGGCGUGCGUCUGAUAGGUAGUUGGCGGGGUAACGGCCCACCAAGCCUUCGAUCAGUAGCUGAUGUGAGAGCAUGAUCAGCCACACGGGCACUGGGACACGGGCCCGACUCCUACGGGAGGCAGCAGUAAGGAAUAUUGGUCAAUGGACGCAAGUCUGAACCAGCCAUGCCGCGUGGAGGAUGAAGGCCCUCUGGGUUGUAAACUUCUUUUCUUUGGGACGAAACCCCUGUUUCUACGGGGACUGACGGUACCAGAGGAAUAAGCACCGGCUAACUCCGUGCCAGCCGCCGCCGUAAUAC